rnacentral:rRNA from 1 species
ACGGGAGGCAGCAGUAGGGAAUAUUGCGCAAUGGGGGCAACCCUGACGCAGCAAUGCCGCGUGAGUGAAGAAGGCCUUCGGGUCGUAAAGCUCUUUUAUGGGGGAAGAUGAUGACGGUACCCCAUGAAUAAGCACCGGCUAACUACGUGCCAGCAGCCGCGGUAAUACGUAGGGUGCGAGCGUUGUUCGGAAUUACUGGGCGUAAAGGGCGUGCAGGCGGAUUGGCAAGCCGGAGGUGAAAGCCCGGGGCUCAACCCCGGAGGGUCUUUCGGAACUGCCAGUCUUGAGAGGGUCAGGGGCCAGCGGAAUUCCUGGUGUAGAGGUGAAAUUCGUAGAGAUCAGGAGGAACACCGGCGGCGAAAGCGGCUGGCUGGGGCCACUCUGACGCUGAGGCGCGAAAGCGUGGGGAGCAAACAGGAUUAGAUACCCUGGUAGUCCACGCCGUAAACGAUGGGCACUAAGCGUCCGACGGGUUCGACCCUGUUGGGUGCUGCAGUUAACGCGUUAAGUGCCCCGCCUGGGGAGUACGGUCGCAAGACUAAAACUCAAAUGAAUUGACG